GUGCUUGCUUCGGCAGCACAUGUACUAAAAUUGGAACGAUACAGACAAGAUUAGCAUGGUCCCUGCGCAAAGAUGAGACGCAAAUUCGUGAAGCGUUCCAUAUUUAA
ensembl:snRNA U6 U6 spliceosomal RNA